GUAUGAAAAUUAAGCAAAUAAAUCAAUGCAGAGAGGCUCCAUAUCAGUUGGUAGAACAAGAGGCAUAUUUUACACCUAUUGGCAAACAAGAGUUGCUUUAUCAGCUUGAAAUCAGUUCCUGUUUUUGUCUGCAAAUAAAUAAGUCUUUAAAGGAGUAUUGUGAAGUUUCUGUUGAGUCAUUCUAAAGGUGAACCCAUCUGCAGUGGAGGGCGAACUCCUUAGAUCUAAGUCCGGCUUCAUAGAGCCUUGACAAAGAGCACUGGGGAUGGAGCUGGAAGGAUAGAUGGAUUGCAGAUGGCCAUAGGAGAUACGAGCCAAUACUCACCCCACCAUUCCAAAGAAGGUGCAGGUGAAGCAAUCAGGCAUACUCAAUAAUAAAGUGACUUAUCAACUGGGGUCGAGGGACUCAAAUUCAGCCAGACAUUCUCCGUCGAACAGCAAGUGGAGUUUGAAGGCCAGAGAUUCAAUGUACCCAACUGCUGAAACAAGCUACAAGAAGCUGAAGGUCAUUUCUGUAGAUAAUCAACCAACCCAGAAUCCACAGCUGACAAUGACAUUCAAUGAUAUGAAAUUGGUUUUAAGGAAGAUGUUGAGGCAAAACACCUCUCUCUUGGAAUUCACUCGAGCAGACUUCAUAGUUGCAGGAAAUAGCAAUUAGCUUAUGCAAUCUAGACAACAGCUUAGCUCCUUUAAACAGGUAAAAGAUACCGAUUAUUCCUCUAGUUUUCGCAACAAGAAAGCAUCCACCAACUUUAACCAAAGUUGAUAAGCAUAAAGUCCAGAUAUGCCUAAAACUUAAAAAUCUCUAGUCUUUUACUACAGAAUUAUGCUGUUAUGCAUAGAAUUAAGGGGGACCAUACCACAAACAGGCUCAGUAGUUUCCUGCUUCGAAGGGGAAAGUAAAGAAUCCCAGAGAAACUAAAACUGAAAUAUUGAUUAAAAAAGUAGUUAUAAUAAUCAAAGUCUUGCUACAUAAACAAAACGAAAGACAGUUUCAUCGUUGGAUUAAACAAAUAUUAGAACUAAGAGUCCUUUUUUUUUUCCAGCAUGAAAUAACAUAAUCAACUGACAGAA